rnacentral:rRNA from 1 species
ACUCCUACGGGAGGCAGCAGUGGGGAAUWGUUCGCAAUGGGCGCAAGCCUGACGACGCAACGCCGCGUGGAGGAUGAAGACCUUCGGGUCGUAAACUCCUUUCGAUCGAGACGAAUGGUUUCCGGGUGAACRAUCCGGGAAAAUGACGGUACCGAGAGAAGAAGCCCCGGCUAACUUCGUGCCAGCAGCCGCGGUAAUACGAAGGGGGCUAGCGUUGUUCGGAAUUACUGGGYGUAAAGGGCGCGUAGGCUGUGCUGUAAGUCAGGCGUGAAAUCCCCGGGCUCAACCUGGGAAUUGCGCAUGAUACUGCGGCGCUUGAAGMCGGGAGAGGAUGGCGGAAUUCCCAGUGUAGAGGUGAAAUUCGUAGAUAUUGGGAAGAACACCGGUGGCGAAGGCGGCCAUCUGGCCCGUAAUUGACGCUGAGGCGCGAAAGCGUGGGGAGCAAACAGGAUUAGAUACCCUGGUAGUCCACGCCGUAAACGAUGGAUGCUAGCCGUUGGCAGGCUUGCCUGUCAGUGGCGCAGCUAACGCAUUAAGCAUCCCGCCUGGGGAGUACGGUCGCAAGAUUAAAACUCAAAGGAAUUGACGG